rnacentral:lncRNA from 1 species
GAUUCUCUUGUAAGCCGCCAUAGGCGUGUAACCCCAAACUCUUGAUAUAGUGAGAUUGUUGCCGGCUGGUGCCCGUGGUUUUUCCUCUUCACAUUGAAGGGGUUUUCCACGUAAAUCGUGUGUCUUCUUGCGGUUUGAUUCUUUACUUCAUAUUCCAUACGCCGUUCGUUCCUAACAAGUGGUACCAGAGCUUUGGUUGCUGUUUGGAUUUCAUGUCGUCGUCAAUGAAGUUUGAUCUACCGCUGCUAAACUACGACACGC